UGUGAUUGGUCAAUCUGUUUGUAGAGUUAUGACAUGGAGGAGAAAGCUGGAACAGUAGAACAAAUCAUCAGCUGGAUGAAUGAUAUAUGCGGAGCAGAGCAUGAUCGAAUUGUCAAACGGACUGGAAAGCUUUCAAUACACACUUAAAGGACGGUGUUAUGUUAUGCGUAUUAAUAAACAAAUUGCUAGAAGCUGAUGGUAAACGCCUUGAACAUUUCCAGAAGUUAGCAGUGACACCAUUUCUUGUAAUGAUAAAUAUUGAGAACUUUAACCAUGGAUGUAUGAACUAUGGUAUGGCAAAAGAGCUUACGUUUCAAACAGGUGAUUUAAUGGAUCUUAAAAAAGACAAGUUCAUCAAUGUAUUACGUUGCCUCCACAAUCUAGGGUUAAUUGCAAACUCGAAGCUAUAUCAGCCACAGUACACUGGGGAAGAGUCGAACACAACAGAAAUGGAUUACUUCACGUGAUUUUAAUCAAGUGAUCUUCAUAUUUCAAGUGACAUGAUCAAUAUCUCGCUAUAUAUUUCUGCCUUUUUUAUACCUUCAGUUACAUAUAUUUUUCAGCUGCACUUAUUUUGCAACUACAUCAAGAUGUAAACAAUUUUGUGAUGUUCUGUCUAGUACUUUAAUUUCGUCGCGUGAGUGGAACGAUGCUCUGUCUACCAUUUUUUAAACGUGGCGAAAAUCGCUUCCAAAGUUUAACUAUCGUCUAGUUUCUUUAUUUCUGGGCGAAAAAGAUGAUCAAUAUAUCUACUUGUUGCUUGCGUUUAGUUCUUUCAGACUGUAAAUGCUUCCAAAUACAUUUCGUUUUUACUUUUCUACAAUUAUACAUUUUUCACUUUGGAGCAAAUUUGAGAAAAAUAAAAAAAAAUGUUAAAGGUGUAUUGCUCUAUCGGGAGAUAGAGCACUGUAAAUUUACAAAAUUGGACAUAGAGCAAGAUAAUAUUUAUUACAAUUGUAUAUUGAAAAUAGGGCAAGAGCUUUUAAACAGUAAUUACAGUCGCUGUACUCAUUUUGAAAUUAAAGGAGGAUUGGUUUUGGUUUCAGUAUCGUCAAACUGACACAAUAUUAUAGGCUAUAUUGCAACUUUUAAGAUCUUCAUUGUGGAGGAGGACUCUAGAUGCAUUAUUUUGGCACGGGCGGAUACCUGGAUAUAUGACUUCCUUAGUGUCAGCUUGAUGGCUUCCUCACAUGCAAAAGCAAUGUUUCAAACAGUGGUUAGGGGCAGGUGUUCAAAAAUCAGACGAUUUGGACUGAUUUGCCAAUUUUUUACCAUGCAGUCCAAAUUGUUCAGAGUUAACUGAACUACUUUGCUACAGAAAUAAUUGUCUAUUAAACUAGGCAUAUUGGUCGAAAUUAUUUGCAGAUGGGUAUUCGUAAAACCCUAUCGUAGUAUUGUGUUAAACAACAACAAAAAUAUUUUGAAGUUUAAUUACUCAGUGACCGCAAUAAUUAUUAUCAACAAUAAACAACAGAUCUAAAAUCUUUAACUAUUCUACAUGUAUUUGCCAAAUACAACUAGCUUUUCAUUACGCUGAGUAAGAUUUUCCAUGUUUUGUUAUCAGUUGGCAUUAAGUUUGGCAUAAUACUAAGCAUUAUAACAAUACCUAAAACAUUGUCUUUGCAAUUAAAUAUUCUCAGUAAUAACUGUAUUCUUUCACAAAACAAUAGUUUUUAUAUUAUGUUCAAUUUCUGCAUGUAACACAAUGUGUUAUUCAGGUCUCUUUUUUAGCUAUUAGUAUAG
rnacentral:misc_RNA from 1 species